UGGGGUAUAUUGGACAAUGGGCGAAAGCCUGAUCCAGCCAUGCCGCGUGUGUGAAGAAGGUCUUCGGAUUGUAAAGCACUUUAAGUUGGGAGGAAGGGCAUUAACCUAAUACGUUAGUGUUUUGACGUUACCGACAGAAUAAGCACCGGCUAACUCUGUGCCAGCAGCCGCGGUAAUACAGAGGGUGCAAGCGUUAAUCGGAAUUACUGGGCGUAAAGCGCGCGUAGGUGGUUUGUUAAGUUGGAUGUGAAAUCCCCGGGCUCAACCUGGGAACUGCAUUCAAAACUGACUGACUAGAGAAUGGUAGAGGGUGGUGGAAUUUCCUGUGUAGCGGUGAAAUGCGUAGAUAUAGGAAGGAACACCAGUGGCGAAGGCGACCACCUGGACUAAUACUGACACUGAGGUGCGAAAGCGUGGGGAGCAAACA
rnacentral:rRNA from 1 species